rnacentral:rRNA from 1 species
GACGGAGGGCGCGGGCGUAUUCGUUUUGAUUGGGCGUAAAGGGUAUGUAGGUGGUUUCAGUUUUUUGGCGAAAAUAGCGGAGGGUUCCUACGCGAUAUGCCUUUGAAGAAGAAACUUGUGUUAGAGAGAGAUCGGGGCAAAACUUUAUGUAAGGGUAAAUCUUCGAAUAUAAGGUUGAACGCCAGCAGGCGAAGGCGCCCUUUCCGCUCUAACAGACGCUGAGGUACGGAAGCCUAGGUAGCAACGGG